UAGCCUUUUGUCUGAUUUAGCUGAAAAUGCUCCUCAUGAUUGUAUACAGUUGAUGCAACAAGAAACUUCUGGAUUUUCUCAUGAAAAACCUAUUGAUAACCCUGAUUUUGAGUGUUUUGUAGAUGGAAGCAGGAAUAUGGGAGAGGAUGGCCGGUUCCACACUGGAUAUGCAGGGGUCACACAGCAUGAGGUAGCCAUUGCUGAACCACUCCCUCACACAUGAGCUGAAGGCACUCACUGAGGCGUGUAAAUUGGCUGAGGGGGAGAAGGUGAACAUCUAUACAGAUUCAAGGUUGGCCGGAAGCCUUCCCAAUAGCCAAAGCAAAUGCCAAGAAUACGGCAAAGAAAAUGAUCCUGACUCAGUAGAAGGAACUCACAACUUGCAGCCCGGGGACUGGGUGGUGAUAAAAAGGCAUGUGAGAAAAGGACUAGUUCCAAGAUUUGAUGGCCCAUUUCAA